rfam:Trichomalopsis sarcophagae strain Alberta scaffold5828, whole genome shotgun sequence.
AUUUCAAUAUGAUGAUUUUACAUGCACCACUCUUACCACAUAUGUGGAGAUUAUGUAUUUCUGAAAUAAA